rnacentral:rRNA from 1 species
UACGGAGGGUGCAAGCGUUAUCCGGAAUCACUGGGUUUAAAGGGUGCGUAGGCGGCAUGAUAAGUCAGGGGUGAAAGCUGGCAGCUUAACUGUCAAAUUGCCUUUGAUACUGUUGUGCUUGAAUCAGGUUGAGGUAGGCGGAAUGUGACAUGUAGCGGUGAAAUGCAUAGAUAUGUCAUAGAACACCAAUUGCGUAGGCAGCUUGCUGGGCCUGCAUUGACGCUGAGGCACGACAGCGUGGGGAUCAAACAGG